UUAGAGUUUGAUCCUGGCUCAGGACGAACGCUGGCGGCGUGCCUAACACAUGCAAGUCGAACGAAGCUUGACGAAUGAUUUCUUCGGAAUGAAAUCUGAUAUGACUGAGUGGCGGACGGGUGAGUAACGCGUGAGCAACCUGCCCUUCGGAACGGGAUAGUGUCUGGAAACGGACAGUAAUACCGUAUAACGUAUUUUUACCGCAUGAUAGAAAUACCAAAACUGAGGUGCCGAAGGAUGGGCUCGCGUCUGAUUAGAUAGUUGGUGGGGUAACGGCCUACCAAGUCGACGAUCAGUAGCCGGACUGAGAGGUUGAACGGCCACAUUGGGACUGAGACACGGCCCAGACUCCUACGGGAGGCAGCAGUGGGGAAUAUUGCACAAUGGGGGAAACCCUGAUGCAGCAACGCCGCGUGAAGGAAGACGGUUUUCGGAUUGUAAACUUCUGUUCUUAGUGAAGAAUAAUGACGGUAGCUAAGGAGCAAGCCACGGCUAACUACGUGCCAGCAGCCGCGGUAAUACGUAGGUGGCAAGCGUUGUCCGGAAUUACUGGGUGUAAAGGGAGCGUAGGCGGGAUGCCAAGUCAGCUGUGAAAACUAUGGGCUUAACCCGUAGACUGCAGUUGAAACUGGUAUUCUUGAGUGAAGUAGAGGUUGGCGGAAUUCCGAGUGUAGCGGUGAAAUGCGUAGAUAUUCGGAGGAACACCGGUGGCGAAGGCGGCCUGCUGGGCUUUUACUGACGCUGAGGCUCGAAAGCAUGGGGAGCAAACAGGAUUAGAUACCCUGGUAGUCCAUGCCGUAAACGAUGAUUACUAGGUGUGGGGGGAUAACCCCCUCCGUGCCGGAGUUAACACAAUAAGUAAUCCACCUGGGGAGUACGACCGCAAGGUUGAAACUCAAAGGAAUUGACGGGGGCCCGCACAAGCAGUGGAGUAUGUGGUUUAAUUCGAAGCAACGCGAAAAACCUUACCAGGUCUUGACAUCUAUCGCUAUCCCAAGAGAUUGGGAGUUCCCUUCGGGGACGGUAAGACAGGUGGUGCAUGGUUGUCGUCAGCUCGUGUCGUGAGAUGUUGGGUUAAGUCCCGCAACGAGCGCAACCCUUACUGUUAGUUGCUACGCAAGAGCACUCUAACGGGACUGCCGUUGACAAAACGGAGGAAGGUGGGGAUGACGUCAAAUCAUCAUGCCCUUUAUGACCUGGGCUACACACGUACUACAAUGGCCGCUAACAAUGAGCAGCAAAACCGCGAGGUGGAGCGAAUCUAUAAAAGCGGUCUCAGUUCGGAUUGCAGGCUGCAACUCGCCUGCAUGAAGUCGGAAUUGCUAGUAAUCGCGGAUCAGCAUGCCGCGGUGAAUACGUUCCCGGGCCUUGCACUCACCGCCCGUCA
rnacentral:rRNA from 1 species